CCAAGCAAGAGUGUAUUUAUAACAAGAGAACACAUAAAGUGAAAGGCGGAAAUUCAUUUGGUGAAAUCCCAGCAAAGAAAGUUAGCCCAGAAAAAAAUGAGGCAAAAAUAGAGAGUUUGGGGGUUUUUGUUCAAAGGGUGGUUGCCCUCUCUGUUAAGCCAAUGAUUUUCCUUUUUCCACUUUAAAAAAAAUCAACAGCCCUUGAAUUCCUGGAAAUACGUACUACUAUACAGUCAUUUCUUGAGCAUCAAUCAACAACAACAGCCAGAUUUCUGUUUCUGUGAUUUUAGUUCCUCUUUUUUGAUACAUAACAAUUGAGGCAGUGAUGACAUUUUAUCCGGAUUCUGGGCUAACUGGAUCGGGCAUAAAGACUAUCCGACCCGUAUCUUGGCCUGGCAAAUCACCGGACGGCCGGCGAUUCGAAGGUUUUUUCUUUGCAUGCAAUCGGUUAUUUUGCAGCCAUGGCGCGGUCGCCUCUCUUGUGCCCGAUCUCUCUUUGCAGAUCUGAGCCUCUUAAGCACUGUGAAAUAGAUCUAUAUCUUCUUCUUCUUUAAAUUUCAACUACUUUUUGCUUCUAAGUAUUAGCUUUAGCAUCAGACCAAAAGCUCAGAGACAGAGAAUGAGGGUUGCAGAGAGUAGAGGAAAGUUCAAGGGCAGCUGCUCCUCUCUGCUAAUUCCUGUGAUUUCAUUUUUGCCAAAGAUGCCCUUCUGCAGUAAACUAUGUCCAAACGACCCCUCUACUGUACCUCCAAAUACUCACUCCCAAAAAGAGAAUCGAUAGUACUACUACUACUACUACUAAUAAUAAUUGUAUGAAAAAUCUGAGGCUGUGAUGAUAAUUUUUUCUUCUGUCUCUGAGCAAAUUGGCGAGGGAAAAGAACAAUUGGACCCGUAUCUUGGCGGGGCAACCCGGACGGUGACGUCUUGCAACCGAUAUUUGCAGCCAUGGCGGUGUCUCCAAUCUCUUGCCGUGUCUUCAAUAUUACAGAUCUGAGCCUCAAUUGGAAGGUUAUUUUCUUAAGUGCAAACUUACAGGAUCUUUUCCGUUAAUUUUUGAAAUUCACAGGUAAAAAAACCACAAGAAUUUCCCCUAAAAAUGCAAAAAGGUUGGCCCAGAAAGAAAUGAGGCAAAACAGAGAGUAUUGGGAUUUUCAUUUGAAGGGUGGUUGCCCCUCUCCGUUCCGCCAUUGAUUUUCCUUUAUUUUAAAAAAAAACCAACAGUCCUUGUUUAUGACAAAAGCAGAAGUAGAGCGCAUUUCGUCAUAAGAAUUGUAAAAUUCCGGAAAAAGUAAUUUUUUUUUCUAGUGAAAUCUGUAUUUACUUUUUGCGUGUGUGUGUUUAUGUUGCUAAUGGAAGUUACAUAAAGAGGCAGUGAUGAUGUUGUUUCUUGUAUCUGGGCUAACCGAUUUGGGCAUAGAGAUGACCCAACCCAUAUCUUGGCGUGGCAACCCGGUAUGGCCUGUGAUUGAGAUUUCUGUCUCCCACUUGCAACUGGUGUUUUGCAGCGCCAUGGCAUAGCUGGCUUCUCUUUGCCUUAUCUUAACACAUCUGAGCCCCAUUUGCUGAAAAAAAGAAGAUUAAUCUUUUCUAUGAUUUGGAUUAGCAGGAAAAUAGGAAGGAAAAUAGCAACGGUAAAGUUAGUAUUCGUGUCACCUAUAGGUCACGGUUUCGAGCCGUCAAAGUAGCCACUAAUGCUUUAUUAGGGUAUGUCGUUUACGUCACAUCUCUUGGGUGUGCCCUUUGCCAAAUCAUGUGUCAACUUGGAAUGCCUUGUGCACCGGGUUGCCCUUGGAUUAAACUAAUUAAUUUAAGUCUGAGGUUGCGGUGAAGGCAAAGAGCUGUAGGGAGUUUCAUUGGGUGGUUUUGCUGCUCUCUGUCAAUUCUCUGCCGCCAAUGAUCACUCAAAUGUAUGAUUGCAAAACCACCCGUUUGGUGAAAAUAUGUAUUACUCCCCCGUUUCAAUUUAUGCGACGCGAUGAGGCUAUGAAGAUUUUAUUCUUCUGUGGAAGAUCAAUCAGACAUAUAAAUCUAUUGAGCUCGGAAAAAAAUUGUAAUCUUGGCGUGGCAGCUCAGUUGGGUCUUUGAGAUAUUGGAGAAUUAUCCAUUUUUGUGUGUGUUUCUCCUCUUUCAUAAGACUAACUGAUGCUUGCAGCCAUGGCGGUCUUUUUCCAAAGCUUUUUUGGGGUUUUGUCUGAGAAAAGGCGAAUCUGAGCCUACCCCAUUGUCUGGAUGAAACAUGUUGGGAUGAUAAAUUCUACUUCUAAGGUUAUUUUCUUAAGUGCAAACUUACAGGUUCUUUUCCGUUAAAUUUUGAAAUUCGCAGGUGAAAAACCCACGAGAAUUUCCCCUAAAAAUGCAAAAAGGUUUGCCUAGAAAGAAAUGAGGCAAAACAGAGAGUAUUGGGAUUUUCAUUAGAAGGGUGGUUGCCCCUCUCUGUUCCACCAUUGAUUUUCCUCCUUUUUCAGAAAAAAACCAACAGCCCUUGAAUAUGACAAAAGUAGAAGCAGACAAGAUUUAAGUGGACGUUUGGACAUAAAAAUUGUGUAAUUCCGGAAAAAGUAUUUUUUUUCCAGUGAAAUCUGUGUUUACUUUGUGUGUGUGUGUAUGUUUAUGUUGGUGAUGGAAGUUACAUGACGAGGCAGUGAUGGUGAUGUUUCUUGUAUCUGGGCCAACCGAUUUGGGCAUAGAGAUGACCCAAGCCGUAUCUUGGCGUGGCAACCCGGUAUGACUUGUGAUUGAGAUUUCUGUCUCUCAUUUGCGGCGUGGCAACCCGGUAUGACUUGUGAUUGAGAUUUCUGUCUCUCAUUUGCAACGGGUGUGUUUUGCAGCCAUGGCAUAGCUGGCUUCUCUUUGCCUUAUCAUAACACAUCUGAGCCCCAUUUGCUGAAAAGAAAAAAAGAAGAUAAUCUUUUCUAUGAUUUGGAUUAACAGGAAAAUAUGAAGGGGAGCCUCGAAGCUACGGUUAAGUUGUCUUCAGGUUCGAAUCGUGAAAGCAACCACUAAUACUUGCAUUAAGGGGCUGUGAUAUGAUUGCUUUUCCUUUCUGGGCUAUGUUCAAUUCAUGGCAUUGAGAAAAUAUCCGACCCAUAUCUUGGCAGGGCGAUCCGGUACGGUUUUUGUAUAGCAAACUGGUGUCUGCAGCUAUGGUGGCGUCGCCUUCUCAUUUGCUUUGACAAAAAAUACAGCAAAUAUGAGCCGUUAGUCUGAGGCUGCGGUCAAGGCAGAGAGCUGUAGGGAGUUUCAUUGGGUGGUUUUGCCCCUCUGUAAUUGUCCGCCGCCGAUGAUCGCUCAAAUGUCCAUUUUUAAAACCACCCUUUUGAUGAAAAUACGUAUUACUCCCUCCCUUUCAAUUUAUGUGACUCAAUGAGGCUAUGAAGAUUUUAUUCUUCUGUGGAAGAUGAAUCAGACUUAUAAAUCUUUUGAGCUGGGAAAAAAUUGUAAUCUUGGCGUGGCAGCUCAGAUGGGUCUUUGAGAUAUUGGAGAAAAAUUCAUUUGUGUUUUUUUUUCCUGUUUCAUAAGACUAGCUGAUGCUUGCAGCCAUGACAGUCUUUUUCCAAAGCUUUUUGGGUUUUUGUCUGAGAAAAGGAGAAGAAUGAGCUCUGUUCUGCCUACGAUUUCUCCAUUGUAAAUCAACAGCCUUUCGAAUUAAACCCAAAAAAAAAAUAAAAAAAAUCAUCAUCCAAUCAGACCCUUAAUACAUUGCUCUUCCUCAUCCUCCUCUCUUUGUGUUGCUGCUACUGAAUACUGAGGUGUAUAAAGGGGCUGUGAUUUUUGCUUUUAGUUUCUGGGCUAUGUUCAAUUCAUGUGGCAUUGAGAAAAUAUCCGACCCAUAUCUUGGCAGGGCGACCCGGUACGGCUUUUGUAUAGCAAACUGGUGUCUGCAGCUAUGGCAGCGUCGCCUUCUCAUUUGCUUUGACAAAUAAUACAGCAAAUCUGAGCCCUCACGAAAAGGCCCAUGUAAUAGCCUGUUUGGCCGUGCUUCUAAAAUCAGCUUAUUUUGUAAUAGCCUGUUUAGCCGUGCUUCCAAAAUCAGCUUAUCAGCUCUAAGAAACUGACCCUUAUUUUUUGAGACCUCACAAGUAUGCAAUUAUGAGAAGGGAAAAGGUUAGCCCAGAAGAAUUAAAGAAAUGAGGCAAAAACAGAGUUUGGGAUUUUCUUUGAAAGGGUGGUUGCCCCUCUCUGUUUCACCAACUGAUUUUCCUCCAUUAUUUAAAAACCAAAAAAAAAGAAGAACCAACAGCCCUUGUUUAUGUCUUUAUGACAAAAGCAGAAGCAGCAGAAAUUAUUUAUGUUAUAUAUAUACUGACAUCUCUGUUUGGAAACAGCCUCUUUACCUGCAUAAGGCAGGGUACUCACUGUUCUCACCAGACCCUCCACUUGUGGGAUUAUACUCUGUUGUUGUUGCUGAUGUUGCAUAUUGACAUCUCUGUCUUUCCUGUGUUCUUUUACAGUGUUGAUGGAAGGUACACAAAGUGGCAGUGAUGAUGAUAUUUCUAUAUCUCGGCUAACCGAUUUGGGCUGUGUGGAGAGUUUUGAAUCUUCUCUCUCACAUGCAAUCUGUCUUUUGCAGCCAUGGCGUUGUUUGUUUCUCUUUUGCCUUAUCAUAACACACAUCUGAGCCCCAUUUGCUUGAAAGUACAAAAACAGAAUCUUAUCCAUGAUUCGUUGUUGGGAUAUGUCGAACAUCCGACCUUCUGCCACAACUAAUAUAUUGCAAACCCAGUAACUCAAAUGGGUUGUGGUAGAAAUUCUAACUCGAAUAAAGUUCAAACCCCGAAUCCGCCUCUGGAUGGAUAUGCAUUUGUCUGUCUGUCUAUGUUACAGUAGCAGCCUGUUUGGAUGGUGGUUCUCAUUGUAUGUAUUGUUACCUUGAAAAGCUACACACCAAAAAAUGGGGAAGAAACUAUAAUGCGGUGAUAAAGAAGACCUCAAUGGCACCUUUGCUUUAGGCAUUACUGGAUUCUUAGUAUGCUCUUAGUCCAAAACUUCCAUACUUACAUCAAAUGUAUGAAAGAAACAUUUUCUGAAAGAGGCAGUUAUUGUACUUGUUUAGUUGGGCUAUAAACCAUUACUGCAUAGAGACAAUUUGACCCGUAUCUUGGCUUGGCAAACACCGGAAUGGGCUGUGAUUUGAGGCUCCUCUUUCACGUGCAAUCGGUUGUGCCAUGGCGUGGCUGGCUUCUCUUUUGUCUUACCAAAACACACAUCUGAGACCCAUUUGCUUGAAAGGAAAAAAAAAGCAGAAUCUUUUCCAUGAUUCAGUGUUGGGAUAUGUCGAACACUUUCUGCUACAAGUUGCAAAUCAUCUUGCAGCCUAAUGUAUCACCAUCUUUUUUCAGUAUCAGUUGAGCAAAGCCUAGAAAUAUAGAAGAAUGAGGCAUCAGACGGACUGGGAUUUUCUGCAAAGCUAUGCCCAUGAUUUCUCCAUUUAUAACCAAAAAAACAACAGCCCUUUCAAAUAAACAAGAAAAUAGAAAAAAAUAAAAUACUUCAUCCAAACACACCCUAAUAUAUUCCUCUUCCUCUUCUUUUUGUGAUGCUGCUACUGAUGUUGUAUGGGGGUUAUAAAGAUUGCUUAUCUUUCUGGGCUAUGUUCAGUCAUGGCAUUGAGAAGAUACCCGACCCGUAUCAUGGCAAGGCGACCCAGUAUGUCUUUUGUAUAGCAAACUGGUGUAUGCAGCCAUGGGGUUGCCGCCUUCUCUUUUGCUUUGUUCAAAUACAGUAAAUCUGACCCCUCAAUGGCCAAACAUAGAGAAAGUAAGCUCAUAGAAUGAAGCAUCAAUGAGAAAUAUGAUUUAUUUAUUUAUUUAUGCAUUCGUUCAGUUUUGCUGGUAAGCCCACAAUUUCUUGCUGGAAUCAAGUACCGGUGCUUAGUUCUUUCUGUAAAUCUAGCUCCGAGAGAUGCAUGUUGUUGAUCUGCUAUUGCUGUUGCUGCUACUGUUCUUUUGUUCUCGCUGCUAUGUGGCUGUGUUAACACCCAAACAGCGAGGAUCAUACUAAAAAUAAUGGUAAAAGUGAAAUUUUUGAGGCAGUGAUGAUAUGAUUCUUGGCAAAUGGCAUUAUUGAUUUGCAUUGAGAUGGUAUUAAACUCAUAUCUUUGCAGGGCAAUCUGGAGGAGAUUGCAGCCGUGGCGAUUUUGAGAAACUCAAUGCCUGAUCAUAGUGAGAUAUGAGCCUCAUGUAUAAAAUAGCAAAAAAUCUCAUCAGUUGAGGCUGCUGUGAAAUCAGAGGGCUGUGGGGAGUUUCAAUUGGUGGUUUUGCCCCUCUCUGUCAUUCUCUGAUGCCGAUGAUCACUCAAAUGAAAAACGUUUCCGAUUCCAAAACAAACCUUUUGGUGAAAAUACAAAUAAUUUCUCUAUUUUCCUUUCUUGUUACCCCUGUUUCAUUUUAUGUGAUGCAACGAGGCUAUGGAGAUUUUGUUAUUCUGUGAAAGGUGAAUAAGACACAUAUUUCUAUUGAGCUGGAAAAAAACUGUACUUGGCAUAGCAGCUCAGAUGGGUCUGUGAGAUAUUGGAAAAUAUUCCAUUUUUUGGUGCUUCUUCUGUGUCAUGUAAGGCUAACUGAUGCUUGCAGCCAUGGCGGUUUUACCAAAGCUCUUUUGGUUUCUGUCUGAGGAAAGGCAAAUCUGAGCCUACCCCAUUACUUUGAGUUUGGUUUUGGUUUUUGCCCUUCUCCUUGGUUUUACACCAUUAAUCUGAGCUUACCCGAAAGCUUUAACUAAUGACUCACUCCUAAUUCCUAAAGAAAGCAAGAGAAAUAUAUACAAGAAUAAAUUUAUGUUUACAGCUUUCAGGAUAGAAUAAAAAGAACUGUUAUGGAGUUGUAAUAAAACAAAAGCUCAGGAGAACGAGAAUGAGGCUUCAGAGAGUUAAGGAUUUUCUGUUGAAAGGGUGGUUGCCUCUCUCUGUAUUAGCCCAUGAUUUCUCUUUUACUGUAACAAUCCCAACAACCCUGUAAAAAUUUCAUGGAAUGGCCAGUUUUCACCUUGCUAUAUAAGCUAUAUCCAGUUUUUUCAAAGCAUUUAAUUCGUAGCGAGUGUUGGUGAGUAUGAUUGACUUCCUGAAAGAGGCGAUGAUGAUUUUUUGUCCAUGUAACCAGGAGGUCACGGGUUCUUGCAAAAAUGCAGGGUAAAACUUCGUACAAUAGACCCUUGUGGUCCGGCCCUUCCUUGGACCCCCCGCAUAGCGAGAGUUUAGUGCACCGGACUGUCCUUUUCUUCUAAUUGAACAGGAAAUGGAUAUGACAGCGGAAAUGCCAGAACCACAACCAAACAACAAGUUCUUUGUUUUUGAAUUCUUAGGAAUGUGUAUGCUGGAGGUCUAUUUUUGAGUCACUAUAUAGUUAAAGAUGCACUCGUUGAUGCCUUAGCCCAUUUUCCUCUGUUCUGAACUAUUUGUGAUUGAUAAUGCUGCUUCUUUGAUAUGUGUGUGCAUAAAAAUGUUUUCUUUUGACUAGAAUUCUUGGAAUGUGAAUGCUAAUGGCUAUUUUUGAGUUUCUUUGUUGAAAAUUUGUUUUUUUGGUACAAUCAAAAAAUAUGUUUCUUUUAUAAUCUCAUUUUCCCACUGUUUUUUUUUUAUCUCUAGUGUAUGGGAAUGCACUUGCUCCGAGAUAGGUGUGCUAUAAUAUAUUUUUCUCUGUUGAAAUGUAGGCAUCAUACGUUAAAGAGGUACUCCCCGAUACUUCAGCCCUUAUAUUCUCUGUUUCCAAACUGGGUAAAGAAUCACAAUCCUGCGCAGUUCUUUGGCAUGGGUGUGCCUAAAUAUGUUUCCUUUUGUCUAGAAAUCUUGCAUUUUUAAUGUCGUCUAUUUUUCAGUUGCUUUUUUGCUGAGAUGUUCUAUUGGACUUGACCUUUUUUCGCGAAGCUGCAAUUUGAUUACUCAACUUUGAAAUAAUGUAAUAUGAUUCCAUCAAUUUAUGAAGGAGCUCUGCAGUUGGUGUUGUCAGAAUUCAAGCCAAAAGCUAAGAUCAUAGAACUUUGCAGGAAAGGCGAUGCAUUUAUAAGAGGAUUGAUUCUGUGCUAAUUGUUUUUUCGUUUAAGGGGAUGAUAUUAGGCAAACUGGAAAUUUGUACAAGAAUGUGGAGAAAGGUUGAGAGGAGUGUUGCAGUUCCGACAUGAAUUUCUGUAAACAAUACUAUUUGCCGUUUUUCCCCAUUGGCCGGUGACAAAUUGGUAUAGGAGGGUGGUGAUAGACACAUACAAACAGUCAACUAUUCAACUAGAAAUAAAGUUGGAUAGUUUUCAUUGUAUACUUUGUUACUGAUACACUGUCUCUUUCCUUCUUGUGUCGAGGGUCUAUCGGAAAAACUCAACAGCCCUUGGAUUUUUGGAAAUACGUACUACUUACUACAAAGUCAUUUCUUCAGCAUCAAUCAACAACAACAGCCAGAUCUCUGUUUCUCUUGUCUCUGUUUCUGUGAUUUUAGUUCCUCUUUUUUGAUACAUAACAAUUGAGGCAGUGAUGAUA